ensembl:lncRNA
GGACACCCGGGGAGCUUCAUCCCAGAGGUGUGCAGCUGGAUUCGUCCCAGACCUCACACAUACUAGGAGUAUCUUUUGCAUGAGAGCAUACCUGCUGUAGGAGUGUUAUGCAACACCACUUGUGAUCAGUGGAGGAGUAUUACCGGUCACUUCCUUACACUCUGAAUGAAAUCUUAACUUCAGUAAUGGGCUUUCUCACAUCUGCUACCCAUAUCUGGACUAUUUGAGCCCCCAGACAGCUUCAAAAGUUAUAACGGUUGAACUCCACAGAUGAGAAAAUAGAAAGUGAAAAGAGAAGAGAGAACAAGUCAAAACAAUCAAUUCAAAGCAAGCUGCUUUUGAAAAGAUCAACAUUAAAUGUCUUCAGAAGACUUCAUCUCAAAGUUUUGACACAGGCAAACUCUAAAAUCCCGGAAUAUACAGCAGAAAAGAAGUCAGCAGCCUUUGUCAACAAGCAGCACAUAAAUGGGAAUUAUUUCAGUGGCAUCAAAAUUUUAACCUCUGUGACUGUGCCUUUCUAGGGAUAAUUUGAGUUGCUCACGGACCGGCACUUUUUUGUGUGCUCAUGCAAGGCCUCCUGUUCUUCCAGUUUCCCUUAUCAUGUCGGCUGCCACCAACCUUUCUGAUUGUAUCCUGAAGGAAUUUCUCAAUGCACUCUGAGUGUUUCACAUGGCUUUCUAUUGUUUUUUAUUUAGCAAUAGAGAAGAGUUUUGUUGCACAAGACUUCUCUAUUGAUGUGUAAACAUUGAUAGCUGCUGAAAAAACAGUGCCUGGUCUGGCACAGGGAAAGUCCUUUCAGUCUGGCUGUAUAUCACAAAUAAGAGGAUGUUCACUGGGCAGAUUUAGCUGAUGUUUUAUUUUCCUCUAAAUAUCCUCCUAAUAACAGCACCUUUUAAGUGACUUCAGAAAGAAAUAAUGCUCAGUGCAAAGAGCCAAGGAUAAUAAAGUUGUGAGAAACGUGUUUGUACAGCACAAUGAAAUCUCUGCCGGAUUACAAACUAAGUGAUUCCCUAGAAACACCUACAAUAAACAACGUUGGGUGUGAAUAGCUCUUUCUAUAACACCCAGCAGUCUGCAGAAUUAAGAAGGUAUCACUGUGUAGCCCAUAUUUAAAUAUACAUAUAUGGAGUGAGAAAGUUUACAAAAGAAAUGAGUGAUUUUAUGAGGAAAUGAUUGCAAACACAAAAGACAGAGACCUACAGACACUUAAAACAUGGUAUCCUAUAGGGUAACCAAUACACUGACAUGGUAUCAGAAAAAGAAGUUAGACAUUAUGAGUUUAGCAUAUGCCCAAAAUAUAUGAGGGGGAAAAUGGGUGUUUGAUACAUAGUGCAAAAAAGUUCUGAACAAUGCACUCUGUGCUGCAUUUCUCUGCAAGAUAGCAGCUACUUCAAUGAAGCUUUCCAAAAAUGUUGAAACAGGUACAGCUUUUACUGCACUAUUUAAUGCUGAGAGAAUCAUUUGUGGCUGUGGCAUGUGAAAUAACUGGAAUAUUUGUGCCACUGAAACAUGGUCAGUGUUCUGCUACUAAAAACAGUUAUAUUUUAUUAGAAACUCGCUGGUAAUAGAAUGAUCAGUGAGCUGUGAACGCGUGUGUAAAUAAUGAACUCAGAGUGCACAGCACUUCCAAUUUCAGGAAAUAAAUCAUAUUCUGAGUUAUUUAAUUAAAUGGAAGUAUGUACGAACCCUCUGUCUGUAAAGUAAUUUCAUUUGGUAUUUGAGAAAGUUUUCACAACAGUAAUUAUUUUAGAUACGCAGAAUACGUACUCUGAGAAAUGUGGGUUAUUUGGUGAAGAAAACCCCCACAGAAAAUUGCAUACUUUGAAGACUAUGCUUCUUACAAAAAAAUAACACAAUAAAAUCUGGGGAAAAAAAAAGACCACUCGAGGAAUGUGGGGCCAUUCUGAAAGUGAGGGGAGCAGCCCCUCUACCAGCUCUGCCCCCAGGGCACGCAGCACCUGCUACCCCUCAGUGGUGGCGUCCACCCGCUCAAUCUCAGCCUGGAGCCCAGCAAGGGCAGAGCCUCUCAACUUCCCCAAACAUCUCUGUUUUGAGAAACACGCGUUCUUUCCGGUGGAAAGAUGUUUUCUUGUAAAAUUCCCAACCGGCUGUAAUCAGGAGCUACGCCUAUUUCCUUCCAGAGGUUGUUUCCUACAACAAAGCAGCACAGGUUGCAGCACUGUGACAAGGACGUCUUUAACGCAGAGAACGUCAGGCGACUGCUUCCCAUCCCCGCGUGCCCGGCCAGGCAGGAUCCGGUUGUUCAUUCUCCUUAUGCCAUGCUGUAAAAGCAAACAUACUGAAUUUGCUGCAGAAGAUACUGAAUGAAAACACAGUGAUGUAAAUCUAGAUAUACCUGCAGACACAUUUAUUCAUGAUGUGUAUUAAGAGCUCAAAGCACGAAUGUGACACAGCUCAGUAACUUCCUUUCAACCAAUACUGAGGAAGAUAGUGACAGCUUAUUGUUUACCAUUCCAAAUAUGUCUGCAAGACUUGUUCACAUAUUAGAAGAGCCAGUUUGUCAAUGUGAGGUUUUUGCUAGCAUCAAGCUCAACAUCUGUUGGAUGUUUCCAGAAGCCUAACUAAAGUUGGAACAAGUUGAAAACUUGUGUACUUAACAACAGAAGAAACAAAAAAAGUGUUGUGUCCUUUCAUUUCUGUUUUGUCCCCUCUUGUAAAUGUUAUAAUAUGCCAUCAACAAGAAACAGUGCCCGGGACGUUGGUAUAAAUGAGCAAAGGAAAGGAUUGGAAGAAGUGCCUAGGGGAAAUUUGGAGGGUGCAGAAGACACCUGAGCCCCAUCCCAACCAGUGCAACUUCUGGAGAAGAACUGAGGUACAGAGAAGCUAAAUGACUUCCCUGAGGCCAUACAGGAUGUCUCAAGCAAUGCAAAGAAUGAAAUUGUUUCAUAGCAAGAAGAUCACCGGAGUCCUGUGGUGGAUCCCCAAGCACGGGAGUGCUGAGAUGUACACGACAACCUUUACUGGCUAAAAAAUAAGAUCAGACAUCCUCUUGUCACAGCCCAAAGUACUCUAUAUAUCUGCUGUGUUUACAGAGAGCUUCCCUUGGUUUCAAUUUCUGGAGUUACACCUUUAAUCUCUGCAAUGCAAAACCUGUGGGAAUCUUAUUAAUAAUGGAUCUAAUGUAAUAUUUUCCAUUUCUAAAAUCCUUUUUCUGUUCAGAAGUGCACCCUCAGAAAACACCUUAUGAAGAGGUGGUAGGUAGUUACUUAGGUAGCUAUUCCUUUCUUUAGAAAUCUUUCCAUGGGUAAAAGUUAAUUUAGUUAAACUAAAU